rnacentral:rRNA from 1 species
CAGCAGCCACGGUAAUACGGAGGAUCCAAGCGUUAUCCGGAAUUACUGGGCGUAAAGAGUUGCGUAGGUGGCAUUGUAAGUUGGUAGUGAAAGCGUGCGGCUCAACCGUAUACACAUUACCAAAACUGCAAAGCUAGAGGAUGAGAGAGGUUAUUGGAAUUCCUAGUGUAGGAGUGAAAUCCGUAGAUAUUAGGAGGAACACCGAUGGCGUAGGCAGAUAACUGGCUCAUUCCUGACACUAAGGCACGAAAGCGUGGGGAGCGACCGGGAUUAGAGACCCCGGUAGUCCCUGUCUCUUAUA